UCCCUGGUGGUCCAGUGGCUAAGACUCUGUGCUCCCAAUGCAGUGGCCCAAGUUCGAUCCCUAGUCAGGGAA
rnacentral:tRNA from 1 species